UCCCAUUGCGGGGGCCUCUCUUGACCCCAUUUUUCUCCUUCCGGAGCGCUCCGCAGAGCGCUGGCAAGGGAGGGCGCGCCAAGCCAGACAGAGCCCAAGGCGCCCUCCAAGAACGCGCGCUACUUGGAAUCCCCCUCCCGGAAACCCGCAAAGAUGGAAAGCACCUCAUCUCAGCCCCUCAUUGCACCAAUAAGGAAGUAGGCCCCAGCGAAAAGAGGCGGCAGGGGCGGAACACACGAGCGACAGAGCUACCGUAAUUUAUUGUUAUAGAUUUGUACAACCAGAUCAGUCCUUGAAGGAUGGGAAAGAGCACUGAUAAUCACAGAAACAAAAGUGAUCCUUCACCAAAGGAAGCUUGAGAAGCACAGAGGCCUCAUCAGUAGCCUAAGAACAAUGAAGGGAAGAGACAUAUGCGACCCAAUAACAGUUUCCUGACCACGGAACGAACCUGAGCCUUCUGCACUGGAAGCUCAGAGUCUUAACCACUGGACCGCCAGGAAAUACACUCUGGGACUUCCCUGGUGGUGC